rnacentral:rRNA from 1 species
ACAUACGACCAUACCCAUUGGAAAACUCGGGAUCCCGUCCGCUCUCCCAUAGAUAAGCCAAUGAGNUGGAUUAGUAGUUGGGUCGGUGACGACCAGCGAAUACCUGGUGUUGUAUGUA